rnacentral:ncRNA from 1 species
UAAGGUUUCUUGCUUUUCCUAAGAGCAAGUGGUGCGGAUGGAUUUAACUCCUGCCCUGUUUCUUGCUUCAGGAUAAAGAGCAAGUGGCGAGCCUGCAA